rnacentral:rRNA from 1 species
UUUAUGGAGAGUUUGAUCCUGGCUCAGAGUGAACGCUGGCGGCGUGCCUAAUACAUGCAAGUCGAACGAUGAAGCUUUUAGCUUGCUAGAAGUGGAUUAGUGGCGCACGGGUGAGUAAGGUAUAGUUAAUCUGCCCUACACAAGAGGACAACAGUUGGAAACGACUGCUAAUACUCUAUACUCCUGCUUAACACAAGUUGAGUAGGGAAAGUUUUUCGGUGUAGGAUGAGACUAUAUAGUAUCAGCUAGUUGGUAAGGUAAUGGCUUACCAAGGCUAUGACGCUUAACUGGUCUGAGAGGAUGAUCAGUCACACUGGAACUGAGACACGGUCCAGACUCCUACGGGAGGCAGCAGUAGGGAAUAUUGCGCAAUGGGGGAAACCCUGACGCAGCAACGCCGCGUGGAGGAUGACACUUUUCGGAGCGUAAACUCCUUUUCUUAGGGAAGAAUUCUGACGGUACCUAAGGAAUAAGCACCGGCUAACUCCGUGCCAGCA